CUUCUUCUUCGUUUAAACCCUAAAAUCAAUACUAAAACAAUCUCCUUAGUUCGUUUUCUUGUCGAAGUCGAUCCAUCUUCUCCUUCGAUUCUUUGAUUUAUCGUCGCUGGAAAAAGCUUCUAUCUUCAGCUUUCUUCUCCUCGAUUUGUUGUUGUGAGAUUCGGUUUCGAUGAUCGGGAGAUACGUAACAGGGCGAUCAAAACGGUGCUGAGUUAGUGACGUGGUGGCGAGCGAGCGAGGCUUUUGGGUCCUAUUCUUCUGGUUCCUCAUGGCGGUGCUCUUGCUUGCUUCUUCUUCUUCCAUUCUAGGGGUUUAUUAAUUGGAUAAAACAUAUCGAUUCUUCCAAGAACGCUAUUGGACUAAAAGCUUACAGCGUGAGUUAACAAAGAGGAUAACAUAAGCACAAGUCGUCUGAUUUUGAGUUCUCUUUAACUAAAACAGUCCCAUGAAAGUUGCCUUUGUGGUAACAUAAAUCAAAGAGGGUGUAUGGGUUUCAGUUCCUGAAAUCAGACCAACGGAUCAUUCAAGAUAGAGCCUAUGUGUAACCCCAACUAUGUCUGUGAAGAAAAGGGGGAUUACUCUGAGUUACGUUUUGGCCAACUUAAGGAACUGUUCUGAAGCGCGUAGACUCUUUGC